UCAACCAAUCUUACAGUGAAAAUGUACCCUCUUCAUUCCAAUGGACUUUCUUGUGUUUCAGUUUGUGCCCAUUGCCUCUUGCCCUGUCACAGAAUACCACUGAGAAGAGUUUGUCUCCACCUUCUUUACUCUCCAGUCAGAAAUGGAUUUGAAUGGUUGUUACUGUAGCAAGGAAAUAGCAAGUAGAAGAAUAUAAGAAUCACAGAAAAUUCUGAGUUGGAAGAGACCCACAAGGAUUAUCAAAUUCUUCAGUGAAUGGCCCAUAUGGGGAUCAAACCCAUGACCCUGGCGUUACAAGCACCAUUCUUUAAGCAAGGGAGCUAAUUUUUGUAAGAUCUAGCUUCUAAGGAACAAAAGGCAAUGUUAUUCCUUACUGGAACAGAAAUGUUUUCAAUUGAAGAUUGUAAGGAAAAAGGAAUGGAUUCUGUGAAGUAUUGAGUAAUCAAUUACACCUGUGCAUAUUUAGUAUGCUGGAUCUGUAUAUGCAAAACUAUAAUUAUCUUUAAAAAUGUUUGCACCAGGCAUACUGACUUACAAAUGUGGAGGCCAUUAGAUACUCCUAGAAAUUGCAUUUUGCUAGAAGUAGACAUUGGAAAGUUUGUCUCUGGUAACCUUCUAAUAAUAUUUUUUUUACAUCUUUCUUUUGUAUCUAAAGAAAUCAAUCACUGUAAGCUGAAUUUAAGAAAACAUAAAUGUAUUUCUUUCAAAUGUUAUUGUCAGCUAUAAUGCUUUACAACUUGGGUUUUACCCUGAAGCAUGUCUUAGACAUCAAAGGGUGAACUGACAAUGUGAAGUGUGGGAAAGCCUCUCACUAUUCCCAUUAACAGCAAUAGCAGCAGCACUUUUAAUUCUUCAUUGAUCACACUGACUAUUUCCCCCUCAAGAGUCAUGAAAGCCAAGAAACUUACUGUGAGGGGUGAAACCCUUGUAAUGGACUACUUAACUAGAUUUUGAUACCUGAAGAGAAAAGAAAAUGAAAUUUCAGGAGCUGUAUUUAACUGAUAACAUACUACAUUCCAAAGAAGGCUAUACAAGGAUAAGCAGCAAUGUUAGAAAAAUGGUCUUGGAAGCAGUGGUUGUACAGAAAGAUAAAAUAUAAAAGAUAAAAGCAACAGGUUGUUACCCCUGGGACUGGAAAGGAGCAUUAAAUUGCUGAUGGCUAAACAUAAGAGCGGUUAUUCUUGGAUUCCUACUCAUAACAGAAGGGUCUCCUAAAGGAGCUUACAUUUUAAAAGCCAAGGAAAAGAUAGAAAGCCAGGCAAGGAGGUACAGCAGCCUUUAAUGAUGAUCCAGAAAAAGGAGAAAGAUAAAGUGUUCCUGCCAAUCUAUUAUAGGUGUAUGUAGGAGGGAUAAAGGUAAGUGUCAGUGAAGGACCUUACCUGCCUGUAAAUGUGUGAGGAUGGGUAAUGGGAACUCUGCUUUUGCAGAGUUUGGAUAGAAUGCUAGUCUUGUGUUAAUGAAAAGACAGUUCUGCAGGCAGAAUUUAAUACCAAAAUUUCAUCUAUGUCUUUCUUUUGUCUGCAUACUCACUGCAUAUUCAGCCUGCACAUUGUCAGCCAUGUCAGCACAAGAGCCUCUCCUUUGCAAAACCUCUCAUUUAACACAUCAUUUCUACCUUAUUGCAACAAUUUACUGAGCUUUCCUCAUUUAAAAAGGCACUGGAAAUAUGUUUUCAUUAGUCAUUAGUGGUCUCUUCUGUUUAAUUUAUAUUGGUUGAUAUUUACUGUUGAUACUUAUCUUUUUGAAGUUUUUUAUGUAUGGCCAUAUGAAAGUUACUAUCAAAAUACGUAUAGAUGUUCACAUGUACACAUUGACAUAAUUUAUUCAAAUCUAAAAGUAAGUUUAAAGUCCAAGACCCAUGUUUAACCUAAUAAAAUAUGUUCUUAUUUUAAAUCUUGAAGAUCUUGGAAUUAAUGGUAAGAUUUAAUAAGGGUCUUAAUGACCAGAUUAGAGGUCAUUUAAAAUAAAAACUGCCUGAAAUUGAAAUUAUGUAUUCCAUUAAAACAAAAUAAAAAUAUCAAGUUGUGCGUGUAGAAAAUUCUGAAUAGCUCUUGGCUAAUUUUGAAGCUAGAGAAAUGAGACUGAUACCAUACUGGUUUUAUUUUGAAGUUUCUUCUGAUAUAUGGAUUUAAGUUUCUGGUAUGCUGUAUCUAGUGUUCAAUCAGUAAAAAAUACAGAUGCAUACUUCCCUGUUGUUUCUCAGCAAGAUAAUCACAUCCUGGAAUGUAAGACAUCUAAUUUAGCUGCUUGGAGUCACCUACUGACUCUAUAAGAACCAAGGAUUUCUUUCAGAUAUUCUUCAUCACGCUCUAAUGAAACACCUGAAGUGAGUGAUAAAAAUAACUUACCUCUCUGGCUUGAUUCAGACAGUUUCAAAAAGUCAGUGACAUACCACCAGAAGCACUCAAGAACAUAACUAGUUUGCUUCAACUGCACUUGCUUAUUCUGUGACAAAAUUUGCUCUUUGAAUUUUCCUAAUUGUGAAAAU